UGGGGAAUAUUGGGCAAUGGGCGGAAGCCUGACGCAGCAACGCCGCGUGCGGGAAGAAGGCCUUCGGGUUGUAAACCGCUUUCAGCAGGAACGAAAAUGACGGUACCUGCAGAAGAAGGUGCGGCCAACUAUGUGCCAGCAGCCGCGGUGAUACAUAGGCACCAAGCGUUGUCCGGAUUUAUUGGGCGUAAAGAGCUCGUAGGCGGUUCAGUCAGUCGGGUGUGAAAACUCUGGGCUUAACCCAGAGCCUGCACCCGAUACUGCUGUGACUAGAGUUCGGUAGGGGAGCGGGGAAUUCCUGGUGUAGCGGUGAAAUGCGCAGAUAUCAGGAGGAACACCGAUGGCGAAGGCACCGCUCUGGGCCGAAACUGACGCUGAGGAGCGAAAGCAUGGGUAGCAAACAGGAUUAGAUACCCUGGUAGUCCAUGCCGUAAACGUUGGGCACUAGGUGUGGGUUCCAAUCAACGGAAUCCGCGCCGUCGCUAACGCAUUAAGUGCCCCGCCUGGGGAGUACGGUCGCAAGACUAAAACUCAAAGGAAUUGACGG
rnacentral:rRNA from 1 species